CCUACGGGAGGCAGCAGUGAGGAAUAUUGGUCAAUGGGCGUAAGCCUGAACCAGCCAAGUCGCGUGAGGGAUGAAGGUUCUAUGAAUCGUAAACCUCUUUUAUAAGGGAAUAAAGUGUGGGACGCGUCCUAUUUUGUAUGUAUCUUAUGAAUAAGGAUCGGCUAACUCCGUGCCAGCAGCCGCGGUAAUACGGAGGAUACGAGCGUUAUCCGGAUUUAUUGGGUUUAAGGGGUGCGUAGGCGGCCUUAUAAGUCAGCGGUGAAAGUCUGUGGCUCAACCAUAGAAUUGCCGUUGAUACUGGGGGGCUAGAGUAUGUUUGAGGUAGGCGGAAUGCGUGGUGUAGCGGUGAAAUGCUUAGAUAUCACGCAGAACCCCGAUUGCGAAGGCAGCCUGCCAAGCCAUUACUGACGCUGAUGCACGAAAGCGUGGGGAUCAAACAGGAUUAGAUACCCCUGUAGUC
rnacentral:rRNA from 1 species